AAAAAGGAAGAAAAAAAAAUUAUAUGGUGAAACAAAAGGCUAGUUAUAAGGUUUAUUUAAAAAAACAAAUGGUGGACUGUGAAACUGCACUGACCAAUGCACUAAAAAUUCUUUAUUGCUAAACCUUGGCAUACAAUAAAUAUAUAUUAUAAAAUUGCAAGAUAGGCCUAGGCCUUACCUGGCAUCCAUGUGGCUCCGCCCCUGCCCCAUGAGGUGCACCACCUUAUGAAUUAGGACAAGGCCUUGUGACUAAUUUAUUUUGACCAUACAAGUUUCACAAUCAGAACCAUUCAUUUUCAUAAUCAUCAUUCAAAGAUUAUCAUGGGGAAAUUUUAGAAAGAGGUACGUAGGCCGGGAGAAAGAUGGGGAAGAGAGGGAGAGAGAGGGUCCCCAAAAAAAAUUGGAAAAUGAAAGAAUAAAAGUUUUACUACAAAAUAAAAUAAAAUUGUUCUCUCUACUAAAAAAUAAAAUAAAUCAAAGAAUAAAAGUUAACUAAAAAUAAUUCGCAUAUAAAAUAGAUUAGUUAAACUAGGGGUAUUUUAGUAAUCACAUCAAUUUUCAUUCUGAUUCAUGUGAAUUAGUAAACAGUUUAUAUGAUCAAUGUCAUUCAUACUCUUAUUCCAGAUAAUUCCUUCUCAAUUCAAUUCUUCUUAAUUUGAUUACGAAUUAGUAAAUGUGCCCUAAUAGUUAAAAGUUAAAACUUUAAAGUGAACUUUGGAGUUAAAUUGACUCUUGUGUUAUAUUAUUUCCAAUGCACAUCAAAUAAGAGUAAAAGACUUUGAAGUCAAAUGCAUAUAUAAUUAUUUAAGUGAGAUGCAAAUCAAAUUUGACUUUGCACUUGACUCUAGGGUCAUGACUCAUAACUGUUUUGAUGCAUGGGACAGAAGUUGAGUCAAAUUUGAAGUAUUUGACUUUAACUUUUUAUGUGCAAGAUAGCCUUGGAUCAUGUUUUUUUUUUUUAAAUUGUUUUAGGACACCUUGGAAGUUUGAAACUAACUAGAAACUUUUUCUUUUCUGUUCUUUUUUGUCAUAUCCUUUUCUCUUUAUUUUUGCUUAAGCCAACUGCAUUAUUGUUGGAUGAAAUGUUUUGUUAUGACUCAAGUAUUUUCUACAUUGUCUUAGGAAGCCUUUAAAAUUAAAUAGAACUCUUCCCUCUUUUUCUUUUUCUUUUUCUUUUUCAUCAACUCCAAUCAAACUACUAUGCUCUCCAGAUCAUUAUGUGAUAGAAACUCUCUAAUCCAACUAACAGGUUUUGGGAGGCAUUUUGGCCACUAAAAGACGUGUUGAUGAAUGGUUGUCAUUUAAAGACAGUAGAAUAUGGAAAAACCUAUCAAAAAGAGAAGAUAGAAUUAUGUCAGUCUUGAGGUUGAGUUUUGACAAUUUAGAAUCACCAUCAUUGAAGCAAUGUUUUGCAUAUUGCUCAAUGUUCAAGAAAGAUUUUGAAAUUCGAAGAGAUAACUUAAUUCAACUUUGGAUGGCUCAAGGAUUACUCCACCCUUCGUCUAGCGAAAGCAAAGAUAUGGAGGACAUAGGCAAUGAAUAUUUUGAUAUUCUAUUGCAGAGCUCCUUAUUUCAAGACGCUACAAUGAGUGACAAUGGCAUUGUUAGCAAAUGCAAGAUGCAUGAUCUUGUGCACGAUCUUGCAGAACUUGUAUCCAAAUCUGAAAGCUUGAUGGAAGACUUAUGUGGUAGAGAUAAUACACUUGAGAUUCAACAUGUUGCUCGAGUUUCUACUUCUACAUUGGAAAAAAUUCCACAAAGAAGUGCUGUGAAAUUGCGGUCACUGUUUUCUGACGAUGGUGAAGUUCCUAGUAACAUUCUUCCACGGUUCAAAGCUUUACGCGUCUUAAAUUUAAGUAAUGCUAGUAUUGAAGAAUUUCCAGAUUCAAUUGGUAGGCUGAAACACUUGAGGUAUCUUGACAUUUCUGAAACAAGAUUCAAAGCACUCCCCAGCUCUAUAGGCAAGCUCUAUAACCUACAGACGUUAAAAGCAACAAAUUGUGCCCUUAAAGAGUUUCCAAAAGAACUGCAAAACUUGAUCAACUUGAGGCAUAUUUAUUUUGAUAAGAGUGUGAAAUUCCCACAGGAGUUAAGGCGGUUGACUUGCCUUCAGACAUUACCUUACUUUUCAGUGGGUAAUGAGACUGGUCGUCGAAUUGAAGAGUUGGCUGGCUUGAAACAAUUGAAAGGUGAAUUAAUUAUUUGUAAUCUGGAGCAUGUAAAGAAUGGAGAAGAAGCAAAGAAAGCCAUGUUAGUGGAUAAGACGAAAGUACACCAUUUGACAUUCAGAUGGACGGAAGGUAGGUCAACAACUGACAAUAGUGAAGAGGAUGAUGAUGUCCUAGAUGAUAGGUCAACAACCAACAACAAUGAGGAGAGGAAUGUUCUAGAAGGCCUUCGACCACAUCUUGAGUUGAAGAGCCUAAGUAUUGAAAAUUUCAUGGGCGAUAAGUUUCCUUCGUGGAUGAUGAGUAGGUCAUUACUACUUAACAACUUGAACAAGAUUCAAUUACUUGGAUGCGAAAAAUGUGGAGGAGUCCCACCGCUCGGUCAUCUACCCAAUCUUACGGAGCUUAAAAUUAGCAGAAUGGCUAGCUUGAAAUGCAUCGGAGUUGAGUUCUACGGUUAUGAUCUUGUCCACAAUAUUGUAGCUACAACAAGUAAGGAGAGAGUUACCUUAUUUCCAGCGCUCAAAGUAUUGCAUAUUUAUGAGUGCAGUGAUCUAAUUGAAUGGAUGGAAGCACCGACAAUGUCAACAAAAGAAGUAGUGGUUUUUCCUUGCCUUGAAGAGUUGGAUAUCCGAAUAUGUUUCGAAUUGAGAAAAGUUCCGAGUCAUUUUCCAUCUCUCCAAAAGUUGGUGAUGAUUUCUAGUUGUUGCAGAAUGCCAAUAGAAGAAAUAAGCAGCGGAUUAACAACUCUCACUUCCUUCCAAAUAACAAGUAUUAAUGAGCUUACUUGUUUGCCGCAAGGGAUUUUGAAGAAGAAUAAGAAUCUCUCCUCUUUGGAGAUAUGUGGGUGUGAUGAUUUAACUUGUAUUUCUGGAGAUGUAUUUGGAUUGUGUGGUUGUCUUGAGAGAUUGGUAAUUAAUAAUUGUGGGAAGCUAAGGCAAUUGCCAGAUGGGCUAGAGACACUCCCUCUCCUUGAGGAACUGUCUAUAUACGGAUGUCCUAGUCUAGAGUUGAUUCCAAUUACGCAGGGCAUGACAUCUCUACGCAAACUAGAGAUUUAUCGUUGUGAAAGAUUGUGCCUACCGAGUGGGUUAGACUACUGCACCUCUCUACGGGAAUUACAGAUUGUAAGUUGCAAUGGAUUAUCAGCCGCAUUGGGUGGGCUUCAGUGCUGCACCUCGCUCCAGAAAUUGAUUAUAACGAACUGCAACGGUUUGUCAGGCCGAUUGAGUGUAUGGGCCUCUCUCGUGGAAUUGAGUAUAGAGAAUUGGAAAAAUCUGACAUCAAUUGAAAUUAAAGGCGGCAAAGUGUCCCUUACCUCUCUUCAGAGAUUGACAAUCGGUAGCUGCGAUGAAUUAUCAAGCUUACAUAUCCUUGCAGCUCUUCCACAUCAAUGUCCUUCUCUUCAGGAAGUGAAUAUAAGUGGGUGCCCAAAGCUAGCAUUGUUUGGUGUCGAAAGUAGCAGUGCUGAAGAGGAGAAGGAGUGGUGCAUUUCAGAUUUACGCACAAUGACAUCCCUUCGACUGCUGAGGAUUCAAAGCUGUGAAAGAUUGGAAAGUUGGGUGAGCAGGAUGCGAUUCCCACUCUCUCUUGAGACGUUGUCAAUAGGCGGUCUCCCUAAUUCAGAGAUUCUUCCAAGUUUAGAUAACCUCAAUUCUCUCCGUGAUUUGACGAUUAUAAGUUUGCCAAACAUAAAAUAUCUGCCGACGGGGCUACAGUCGCUCCCCCGCUUGAACCAAUUACAUAUCGGUCCCUUAUCGGAGGAGCUCGAUUCCUUCCCUAAUUUUCAAGUUGGAUCAUUAACGCAUCUUACAAGGUUAGAGUUGUGGGGUUGGCCUAAGCUCAAGUCUCUGCCUCAACAAAUUCAACACCUCACUUCUCUAACAUAUUUGGGGUUACAUCAAUUUGACGGAGUGGACACUUUGCCAGAAUGGUUGGCUAACUUUACAUCCCUUACGUAUCUGUUGAUUCAAAAUUGCAAGAAUCUGCUGAAUUUACCUAGUGUCGAAGCUAUGCAACGCCUCACCAAAUUACAAACUCUGUAUAUUUCUGGAUGUCAUCCCCUUUUAAAGCAAAGAUGCACCAGGGACAGCGGCACAUAUUGGCCUAUGAUUUCUCACAUUCCAGAUAUCACAAUAUAUUGAGAUAAUACAUGGAUUGAAGCUACGCAAGGCCUUGCGAAACUACAACAAAAGCGUUGCGGAAAAACCAAAGUAUGUACAGUUGGAUAUUCAGGGGAAUGGCUACACAGGUCUCCGAUAUUUCUUGUAUUCCAGUUUUAUGUACAAACGACUCCAAAUGGCAUGAACUUUGGCAUUGAAAUUAAGUCAUUGGCAUUUAUAUUUCUUUUGGCAUGCUGUGGCGUUUUUCAGGAUGCUUCCAUCCUAUUCCCAAUAGGUGAUGAAUACUGGGCUACAAAUGCCCAUUUCUCUUGAGGAGUCUACAAUAAGUGCGACUUCCCUGAUUUAGACUCUUCCAAAUUUAGACAACCUAGCAUCUCUCUAUAAGUUAGGGAUCUAUAAUUUGGCAAAUUUAAGAAAUAUACUUAAAGGUCUGUAAUAAUGGAAGAAAUUGAAAAAAAAUUGCCAUUGGCAGGUUCUUGGGAGGAGCUCAAUUUCUAUCUUGAUGUUCAAGUUGGAUCAUUGAAACUUGAAUCGUUACAUUUGAAAUGAUGGCCAAAGCUCAAGUCUCUGCCACAUCAAAUUCAACAACACUUUGCUUCUUUAACUGCUUUAUAUGUAUCAUAUAUCAUGGUGUGCAAGUCCAUAGCUCUCCGAGAUUACUUGUAUUCCAGUUUUAUGUACAAACAGCUCAAACUUAAGCAUUGAAAUUAAUCCAUUUAAAACUGGAGAAACUACUAAACAUGGACGUAGCCCAGCUUGCACGUAUGGAAGGUUCGCACAAUGUCCUAUGAGCUUAGUACUGUCUUUAAUGAAAGAAAGAAAAUUAAGAAAUUCUGGAUGCUUUAUUGGGGAUGAGAGUCUGUAGAAUCGGCUCCAGUAUAUAAGAGAUAACUCGCCUUCUGGAAUGAUGCCCAAUCAAGGGUUUAGUGACUUUGACGAACUGCAACGUGGAAGCCCUAGCCCUAAUUGUUCAGACAUAAUGCCAAAUUAUAGAGGGUCAGACCUCGGCGAAUGGCCUCAUGAUUCUGAAAAAUUAGUGGACAGAGCUGCUGACGGAGCACCGAAAGCUCAGGCCUUUCACGCAGGUCGUUCCCAUAUGCGGCUGCCUCUUGAAUCAAGAGAUAAUUCGCGUCUCUGGAAUGAUGCCCAACCAAGGGUUUAGUGACUUUGACACGCUGCAACGUGGAGCCCUAGCCCUAUUGGCUCAGACAUAAUGCCAAAAUAUAGGGGGUCAGGCCUUGGUGGCUGGAACGGACGGCCUCAUGAUAGAUUAGGUGGUCCACAAGGGAUGAAUAUGGAGUGGACCAUCAAGCCCAAGUUCCUACAUUGUGAAGAGGAUAUUGCGCUUGGAUAUUCCAGUAGAUAGCUUUCUAAAUCUCAAUUUUGUUGGCCGGCUUCUGGGUCCUAGAGGCAAUUCACUAAAGCGGGUGGAAGCUUCUACAGGCUGUCGUGUGUACAUAAGAGGAAAAUGUUCAAUAGGAGAUAUUGACAAGGAGGAAUCGUUGAGGGGAAGACCAGGUUAUGAACAUCUGAAUAAUCCACUGCACAUUAUAAUUGAGGCUGAAUUGCCUGCUAAUAUUGUUGAUAUGCGGUUGAGACAGGCAAAAUAAAUCAUAGAAGAACUUCUCAAACCUAUGGAUGAGUCACAAGACCACUACAAGAGGGAACAGUUGAGAGAACUAGCUAUGCUGAAAUCCAAUUUACGAGAAGAGAGCCCUCAACCGUAUGGUGGUGUCUCUCCUUUCACUUCAAGCGGGAUGAAGCGUGCCAAAACUGGUCUGUAAUGGUUCACUUAACUCCUCUUCUAUUGGUUCGUUCUCCCGUGCGACUCUUGAGCUUGCUUGCCAGCGUAUGCUUCUCGGUGUGAUUCAAUUCUGUAUGCAAACUGUAAGGGACGACGCGUUGUGGACCUGUUUGAUGAGGACCAAUGCAGUGGUUUUCUUCCAUUACAUUAAGAUAUACGGAUGAACGGAGAUAUUCUUUUGUUAUAGAGAGAAUUCAGAAACACGAUGAUUGACCAACUUAUCAGCGUACAAGGGAAGACUGCAUAAACUUGGAAGCACAUAUAUAUUUUCAUAUGUAUAUUAAGAAUCUAGAAAAGGAGGUACACCCAAGGAGGAUGUACACUCAAGGCAUCAACAAAGAGGAAUUAGAUUCAAGGUACUUGGAAGCACCACGGAAGGAAGGAACUAGAUAUGUCUAAAGCAAAGGAUCAACGAGGAGGAACUAAAUUCAAGAUACUUGGAAGCACCAGGGAAGGAAGAAACUAUACAAGGCUAAAGCAAAGGAUCAACAAGAACGGAUUAAAUUCGAAACGAAAGAUACUUGGAAGCACCACAGAAGGAAGGAACCAGACGUGUCUACAAGCAAAGAAUCGAAUACAUCAUCAAUUAUUAAGAGAAAGUUGGAUCAAACAGUUGUGUAAGGAAGAAAUAUUGUCAAAGUACUUAAACCCACAUCUGGUGUAUUGCAGCCGACCAUCAGCAUUUUAUUUCCUUCUAU